AGAGCGAACGCUGGCGGCGUGCUUAACACAUGCAAGUCGAACGCGCAGCAUUCUGUAGCAAUACAGGAUGUGGGCGCGUGGCGAACGGGUGCGUAACACGUGGAUAACCUUCCUUCAGGUGGGGAAUAACCCAGCGAAAGUUGGGCUAAUACCGCAUAACAUGACGAUGCCACAUGGUGUUGUCUUCAAAGGCGCAAGUCGCCAGAAGAGGGAUCCGCGGCCGAUUAGCUUGUUGGCGAGGUAAUGGCUCACCAAGGCAUUGAUCGGUAGCCGGACUGAGAGGUUGGCCGGCCACACUGGAACUGAGACACGGUCCAGACUCCUACGGGAGGCAGCAGUGGGGAAUCUUGCACAAUGGACGAAAGUCUGAUGCAGCAACGCCGCGUGGGGGAUGAAGCUUCUCGGAGUGUAACCCCUUUCGACCCGGACGAAUGCCCGCAAGGGUUUGACGGUACGGUAUAAGAAGCCCGGCUAACUACGCGCCAGCAG
rnacentral:rRNA from 1 species